rnacentral:lncRNA from 12 species
AUCACACACAGUUAUCAUAGGUGGCAAUGUGCCCAGUUAAAUAGUCCUAUUUCUCAGUUUUCUUGUGGACAUGUGUGGACAAUGAAAUAGUAACAGAAGUGGAAGGAUGGAGAUGAUCAGAAAGCCCUUUUGGCCUUAAUUGUUUUCUUCUUCCUGUUACCUAGAAUGUUGGUGUCUUGGCUUAACGGUUAGCAGCCAUAUUAUGAGCAGGAGAGAAAGGCCAAGACUACUAUGCAAGCCACAGAUGUAACAUAUUAAAGUAACUGCUGAACCAAAGCCAGAAUCCACCUACUUUUGGAUUUCUGAUCAAAGAGAGUGAACUCUUAUUAAAAGAUUACUCUCUUCAUAUAGUCACUUUACUCUUAAUCGAGUGUUUAUAACUGUUUAUAACUGCCUAAUCCGGUUACUGACUUGUACACGAGAGGAUAACUGAUCAUACAGGUACAACAGAAAGGACCCUGGUACAAAAAGAAGAAGUUGUCCCAAAGACCCACAUCAAUGCUGGGAAGAUCCUGAAUGUACCAAGGUCCAUGCAACUUGAAGAGCCUGGUUAACACACUGCAGCUUUCCAUCUGCCACGUGACUGAUAUUUACAGAAUUGGAGAGCUGGUGCCCUUUGCUGAAGGAUAUCUCCUAUGUUCCUCUGUGGCAGAAGCAGAAUCAAAACAUUUCAUUUUAUGGAAGCAAUUAGACACACAUCUGUUCCAGAACUUACAUAUUAAAUGUUUGUCCGUAUAGACCACGUGAAUUUCAAAACAUCUGUAGGCAACAAGGGAGGUUUUAAGUCAUACUGAUGUACAAGAACAUGUUGUGGGAUUUGGUCCUCUUUCACUUUGGUUCAAUGGAAACACAACUUUGAUUCCCUGGGUAGUUAAAAACCUAUGGUUACCUCUGCUAAAACCAACCUAGGAAGGAUUAUAAUAACUUUAGCUUUUUAUAUUUAUUUAACAUGUGGUUUCAAAAUGUCUUUUCACUUCUAUAUCCCUAGCAUUGAAUGUAGUGUCUAUUCAAUAAAUAAUUGUGGAAUGAUUAAAAGAAUAUAUAU